UACGCCUUUAGUUCAGAUGGUAGAACGUAGGUUUCCAAAACCUAAUGUCGAGGGUUCAAUUCCUUCAGGGCGUGU
rnacentral:tRNA from 1 species